GGGGGCAAGGUACAAAAAAAAGGCAGAUCUACUAAGUGAGAAUCUCGGCUUGGCGUCAAGAAGGACCUGACUUGAAAUCUCAUCUGAUUUUUCCAAAUUUCUCACCCAGUUCAUUGGGAUGAAGAUACAGAGUCUAUGGAGAUAUCACCAGCCAUAAUAAACUCCCGAGGAAUAUGAAACUCACCAUCACCAUGAGCUUUAAGCUUCUACAAU